rnacentral:rRNA from 1 species
UACAGAGGGGGCAAGCGUUGUUCGGAAUUACUGGGCGUAAAGGGCGCGUAGGCGGCCUGCUAAGUCGAACGUGAAAUCCCUGGGCUCAACCCAGGAACUGCGUCCGAUACUGGUUGGCUUGAAUCCGGGAGAGGGAUGUGGAAUUCCAGGUGUAGUGGUGAAAUGCGUAGAUAUCUGGAGGAACACCGAUGGCGAAGGCAGGUCUCUGGGCAUUAACUGACGCUGAGGAGCGAAAGCAUGGGGAGCGAACAGG